AUUGAACGCUGGCGGCAUGCCUUACACAUGCAAGUCGAACGGUAACAGGUCUUCGGAUGCUGACGAGUGGCGAACGGGUGAGUAAUACAUCGGAACGUGCCUAGUAGUGGGGGAUAACUACUCGAAAGAGUGGCUAAUACCGCAUGAGAUCUACGGAUGAAAGCAGGGGAUCGCAAGACCUUGUGCUACAAGAGCGGCCGAUGGCAGAUUAGGUAGUUGGUGGGAUAAAAGCUUACCAAGCCGACGAUCUGUAGCUGGUCUGAGAGGACGAUCAGCCACACUGGGACUGAGACACGGCCCAGACUCCUACGGGAGGCAGCAGUGGGGAAUUUUGGACAAUGGGCGCAAGCCUGAUCCAGCAAUGCCGCGUGUAGGAUGAAGGCCUUCGGGUUGUAAACUGCUUUUGUACGGAACGAAAAGCCCUGGGUUAAUACCCUGGGGUCAUGACGGUACCGUAAGAAUAAGCACCGGCUAACUACGUGCCAGCAGCCGCAGUAAGAC
rnacentral:rRNA from 1 species